CCUCUCCUUCUCUCGCCCUCCCUCUCUCUUCUCCCUCUCCCUUCAAGUCUGGCACUGAACGCGAACUGUUUUGCUUUGCUCCGGGAAGAGUGCAGACACAGAACGUGAAAUCCCGAGCUUUUUUUUUUUUUUUUUUUUGCGUGGUGCAUUUAAAACGCUUCCUUAUUUAUAUUACCCUCAUUCCCUCACCUCUCCCACCCCCUCACCAGCCUUUCCAAAUUUCCCUAGAAAUCUCUAUAAAGCGUGCGGAGGGGAAAACAUUUGCACAAAAAGUGAAGGAGCUCGCCAAGGUAGUCAAACCUGCCCUGACACCUGGACGUCUGCAUGAGGGGUGGUCACUGAAGGAGGAGUUGUCAGAGGCCAUAGGAGCUAAAGAGUCUGUGCAGAUGAGCUCUGGAGUCCCAGGAACUUGGCUUCUAAAAUGA
rnacentral:lncRNA from 1 species